CACACAGUAAACGAUGAAUACUCGCUGUUUGCGAUAUACAGUAAGCGGCCAAGCGAAAGCAUUAAGUAUUCCACCUGGGGAGUACGCCGGCAACGGUGAAACUCAAAGGAAUUGACGGGGACCCGCACAAGCAGCGGAGCAUGUGGUUUAAUUCGAUGCAACGCGAAGAACCUUACCAGGGCUUGACAUCCCCCGGACGGAACUAGAGAUAGUUCAUUCCCUUCGGGGACUGGGGAGACAGGUGG
rnacentral:rRNA from 1 species